rnacentral:rRNA from 1 species
CCUACGGGUGGCUGCAGUGGGGAAUAUUGGACAAUGGGGGAAACCCUGAUCCAGCAAUGCCGCGUGUGUGAAGAAGGCCUGCGGGUUGUAAAGCACUUUCGGUUGGGAAGAAAAGUUUGGCGCCAAUACCGCCGAACCUUGACGUUACUGACAGAAGAAGCACCGGCUAACUCUGUGCCAGCAGCCGCGGUAAUACAGAGGGUGCAAGCGUGCAUCGGACUCGCUGGGCGUGUCAUGUAAGUCGGUGGUGAAAUCCCCGGGCUGAACCUGGGAACUGCAUUCGAUACUACAUGGCUAGAGUAUGGUAGAGGGAAGUGGAAUUUCCGGUGUAGCGGUGAAAUGCGUAGAUAGCGGAAGGAACACCAAUGGCGAAGGCAGCUUCCUGGACUAAUACUGACACUGAGGCACGAAAGCGUGGGUAGCAAACAGGAUUAGAUACCCUUGUAGUC